rnacentral:rRNA from 1 species
UCGAAACCUCUGCGAGAGCAGAACGACCCGCGAACUCGUGAUGAAACCCGCGGGGGGCGCUCCUCGCGAUCGCUCCCCCGCGUCUCCGCGGGUGCGGGACUCGUCCCGUUCCCCGCGGGGGCGAACAACGAACCCCCGGCGCAGACCGCGCCAAGGAAAUCUAACGAGGGGGCACGCUCCCGGGACCCCGGACACGGUGCGCUCCGGGACGCGUCGCCUUCUUUCGCUCUGUCUGUAACGACUCUCGGCAAACGGAUAUCUCGGCUCUCGCAUCGAUGAAGAACGUAGCGAAAUGCGAUACUUGGUGUGAAUUGCAGAAUCCCGUGAACCAUCGAGUCUUUGAACGCAAGUUGCGCCCCAAGCCUCUAGGCCGAGGGCACGUCUGCCUGGGUGUCACGCAUCGUUGCCCCACCCCACCCCCGCCCCGGGGGCCCGGCGGUGCGGGCGGAUCAUGGCCUCCCGUGCGCUCCCCGCUCGCGGCUGGCCCAAAUUCGAGUCCCGGCGGCCGGAGCCGCGACGAUCGGUGGUGAGAGCGGACCUCUCGAGCUCGCGUCGCAUUCCCGGCUCUCCGUUCCGGACUCAUAGACCCCGACGCUCCGCGCCAGCGGCGCUCGCAUC